AUCCUAAGAGAUGGGGUA
rnacentral:misc_RNA from 1 species